rnacentral:rRNA from 1 species
GACGAACGCUGGCGGCGUGCUUAACACAUGCAAGUCGAACGGAAAGGCCCUGCUUUUGUGGGGUGCUCGAGUGGCGAACGGGUGAGUAACACGUGAGUAACCUGCCCUUGACUUUGGGAUAACUUCAGGAAACUGGGGCUAAUACCGGAUAGGAGCUCCUGCUGCUUGGUGGGGGUUGGAAAGUUUCGGCGGUUGGGGAUGGACUCGCGGCUUAUCAGCUUGUUGGUGGGGUAGUGGCUUACCAAGGCUUUGACGGGUAGCCGGCCUGAGAGGGUGACCGGCCACAGUGGGACUGGGAUGCGGCCCAGACUCCUACGGGAGGCAGCAGUGGGGAAUAUUGCACGAUGGGCGGAAGCCGGAUGCAGCAACGCCGCGUGCGGGAUGACGGCCUUCGGGUUGUAACCCGCUUUCGCCUGUGACGAAGCGUGAGUGACGGUAAUGGGUAAAGAAGCACCGGCUAACUACGUG